rnacentral:rRNA from 1 species
GACGAACGCUGGCGGCGUGCUUAACACAUGCAAGUCGAACGGAAAGGCCCUGCUUUUGUGGGGUGCUCGAGUGGCGAACGGGUGAGUAACACGUGAGUAACCUGCCCUUGACUUUGGGAUAACUUCAGGAAACUGGGGCUAAUACCGGAUAGGAGUUCCUGCUGCAUGGUGGGGGUUGGAAAGUUUCGGCGGUUGGGGAUGGACUCGCGGCUUAUCAGCUUGUUGGUGGGGUAGUGGCUUACCAAGGCUUUGACGGGUAGCCGGCCUGAGAGGGUGACCGGCCACAUUGGGACUGAGAUACGGCCCAGACUCCUACGGGAGGCAGCAGUGGGGAAUAUUGCACAAUGGGCGGAAGCCUGAUGCAGCAACGCCGCGUGCGGGAUGACGGCCUUCGGGUUGUAAACCGCUUUCGCCUGUGACGAAGCGUGAGUGACGGUAAUGGGUAAAGAAGCACCGGCUAACUACGUG